GAAACAUCGGUUCCCGUACGAUCACUAAUGUUAAGCAACGUCGAGCCUGGUCAGUAGCUAGAUGGGUAACAACUUGGGAAUAACAGCUGCUGUAAG